rnacentral:rRNA from 2 species
UCCCGCCUGCCCUGUGACAAUGUUUAACGGCCGCGGUAUUUUGACCGUGCGAAGGUAGCGUAAUCACUUGUCUUUUAAAUGAAGACCUGUAUGAAAGGCAUCACGAGAGUUUAACUGUCUCUAUUUUCUAAUCAAUGAAAUUGAUCUUCUCGUGCAGAAGCGAGAAUAUUACCAUUAGACGAGAAGACCCUAUGGAGCUUCAAACACUUAAAUUAAUUAUGUAAAAUCAUAAUCCUUAGGGAAAAAUCAUUCAUAUAAUAUUCCUAAUUUAACUGUUUUUGGUUGGGGUGACCGGGGGGGAAAGAAAAUCCCCCUCAUCGACUGAGUACUAAGUACUUAAAAAUUAGAACGACAGUUCUGAUUAAUAAAACAUUUACCGAAAAAUGACCCAGAUUUUUCUGAUCAAUGAACCAAGUUACCCUAGGGAUAACAGCGCAAUCCUUUCCCAGAGUCCCUAUCGCCGAAAGGGUUUACGACCUCGAUGUUGGAUCAGGACAUCCUAAU